UUUUAAGUAUUUUUUUAUAGAUUCCUUUCUUCCCCCCACCCCACCCCCUACUCCCUGCAGGAUGCUUACUGAAGAAACCAUUUGGAGUCUCGUAGAAUUUCCCAUGGUCUGGAUAUUGCCAACCCUUCAUGAUAGAGUUUAUCAUGUACUUCUCAUAUAUUGCUAACCGACAACCACCCAAAGUGCUCUGUGAGACAGGAAUAAGUAUAUCCAGUUUACGGUCGCUGCCAACCUGGUAAAGAAGGACGUGAUAUUGCAGCCACACUCCUAGAGGAGAUCUGACCUCUGUGGGUGCUGACUCUCAGGUUGGUGUGUGUAUGUGUGUUAAGAGGAGAGAAAAGGGAGAAAACCCUCUGUGUCUUCCAAUACUUACCAGACAUGUCUCAUAAGGAAGGUUAAUCUCUAGACUAAAGAGAAGAGAGGAAUUUGUUUGUGGUUUGAUAUCCAUCACUGAAAGGAAUACAACUAAAAGGGGCAUCAAAGAAAACUGAUUUUGUCACCAAUGUAGCUACCAUGGAGCAACUUCCACAAGAUCAAGAUACUGGAGGCUGAAGGACUAGGAGACAAAUCUGUAAGCCAGAGAUCUGGAGAGACCCUGAGGCUGUAGGAAACCUUCUACUUACCAUAUUAUUGGACUAUUUUAGAAAAAAAAAAAAAAGUUUUCAUAGAAAAAAAAGUUUUCAUAGAAAAACAUAGCUAUAUAAGCUUCUAAGAGACUUUAAAGACACGUUCCACUCACUGCAUCAAAACUCUCUUAUUGUGUAAAAAGGCAACUUCAGCUGAGGAACAAUUACUAGAUGUGACAGAUAUCUUCAGCCUCAGCCCCCCAGAUGCUCUUUCCAACCUCCCCAACCUGCUCUGUCCCAAGAGAGGCUGACCCAUGCUUUGCCUCAUCUCAGCUCCCAUCCCCUCUGCCUUCUGGUUAGAUUCAGCUAAUGGGAGGCACUGGCAAAAUAUAGACAGGAGACAUGAGGAUGGGAGGAGAAGGAGGCAGAGUGAGGUCAGAGGUCCUUCCUUGCAUGACCACGGCUUGGCAGUAGCUCCUUCCCUCUGGAAAAGGCCACAGCCCUCACUCUACUACAGCUACAGUUGUCAGGGUUCUGGUAGCUCUUCCCUCCUCUAUCCCUUUAAGCCAAUGGCUGAUGAAGAUUCCCACUGUCGCUAGCCCGGGGAAGACCUCACCAUCUUCUGUUGGUUUCCCUGACACCUGUCUACACUCUUAGAAAUAGCCUCUUCAUUAAACUCCCUGAAUAAGGCCCUAUUAAGUGUGACUUCUGUGUCUUGUUGGGACCUGGACUGAUACCUUCAGCAUAUCAAGGAUCCACAUGGGCCAAUGGCGAGCAAAUGAGAAACAAUGCAGAAGUAAGCUAGGACUACCUUCCUCCUCUUUCCCACUUUCACCUAUCAGCCAAGGAAUGCGUACACUGAAGGGAGAGUUUCGUAAUAAACAAGGGCUAUAAAGAAUCCUUCUGAGAUUUUCUAUGCAAUUUACAGACAAGAAAGCAAGGUUCUGAGUUCAUCUUUUCUUCCUAUGUCAUAUAGCUCUUCCUUUGUCCCCCCCAAAUGCAUAAUGGAUUCUAGUUAGGAUGGUGGUCAGUAAGCAGCAGUGAAACAGUUGAAGAAAAUACACAUAGAACAGGAAUGAGGCACAUAAUUAGUCAGAAGUAUUUAUUAAUCAAAGAUGGAAGAUGAUGUACACUCCUAAAUGAAACAUGAAUUUUAGUAAUGUUGGAAAGGAAGAGCAAGAGCAAGAGAAAGGUUUGAAGGCUUUCACUCCUUAAAGUGAAAGGAAAUUUGGGAAUCUGAUCUUUCUUAGGAGUCUGACCUUGACUAUUACAGUUACAUCAUCAGGAUUUCAAAACUAAUAUAGGAACCUAUUAUAUAUUGACUUUGUAUUAACACAGACAGUAGUACUUUUGUUGGUUGAAAACAAUUCUUUUCCCAUACUACAUAAAAGAUCCUCUUUCCUGGAAUUCUUAAUUUAAACAUAUAUAUGUUAGAUAGAUAUUAUAUACAUAAUGCAUAAUAUUAUAUAUGUAUACAUUAUAUGUGAUGUAUA